rnacentral:rRNA from 1 species
UACAGAGGUCCCAAGCGUUGUUCGGAUUCACUGGGCGUAAAGGGUGCGUAGGUGGUCGGGUAAGUCCGAUGUGAAAUCUCCAGGCUCAACCUGGAAAUGGCAUUGGAUACUAUCCGGCUUGAGGAGUGGAGGGGGGACUGGAAUUCUCGGUGUAGCAGUGAAAUGCGUAGAUAUCGAGAGGAACACCAGUGGCGAAGGCGAGUCCCUGGACACUUCCUGACACUGAGGCACGAAAGCUGGGGGAGCAAACAGG